UACGUAGGGGGCAAGCGUUGUCCGGAAUCAUUGGGCGUAAAGAGCGCGCAGGCGGCUUGACAAGUCGGGUGUGAAAUCCCGGGGCUCAACCCCGGGACUGCCUUUAAGACUGCAUCGCUAGAAUCCGGGAGAGGUGAGUGGAAUUCCGAGUGUAGAGGUGAAAUUCGUAGAUAUUCGGAAGAACACCAGUGGCGAAGGCGGCUCACUGGACCGGUAGUUGACGCUGAGGUGCGAAAGCGUGGGGAGCAACAGGG
rnacentral:rRNA from 1 species